rnacentral:rRNA from 1 species
CAUUCACGGAGAGUUUGAUCCUGGCUCAGGACGAACGCUGGCGGCGUGCUUAACACAUGCAAGUCGAACGAUGAACCACUUCGGUGGGGAUUAGUGGCGAACGGGUGAGUAACACGUGGGCAAUCUGCCCUGCACUCUGGGACAAGCCCUGGAAACGGGGUCUAAUACCGGAUACUGACCCGCUUGGGCAUCCAAGCGGUUCGAAAGCUCCGGCGGUGCAGGAUGAGCCCGCGGCCUAUCAGCUUGUUGGUGAGGUAAUGGCUCACCAAGGCGACGACGGGUAGCCGGCCUGAGAGGGCGACCGGCCACACUGGGACUGAGACACGGCCCAGACUCCUACGGGAGGCAGCAGUGGGGAAUAUUGCACAAUGGGCGAAAGCCUGAUGCAGCGACGCCGCGUGAGGGAUGACGGCCUUCGGGUUGUA